rnacentral:rRNA from 1 species
AGUGAACGCUGGCGGUAGGCCUAACACAUGCAAGUCGAACGGCAGCACAGUAAGAGCUUGCUCUUACGGGUGGCGAGUGGCGGACGGGUGAGGAAUACAUCGGAAUCUACUUUUUCGUGGGGGAUAACGUAGGGAAACUUACGCUAAUACCGCAUACGACCUACGGGUGAAAGCAGGGGAUCUUCGGACCUUGCGCGAUUGAAUGAGCCGAUGUCGGAUUAGCUAGUUGGCGGGGUAAAGGCCCACCAAGGCGACGAUCCGUAGCUGGUCUGAGAGGAUGAUCAGCCACACUGGAACUGAGACACGGUACAGACUCCUACGGGAGGCAGCGGUGGGGAAUAUUGGACAAUGGGCGCAAUCCUGAUCCAGCCAUACCGCGUGGGUGAAGAAGGCCUUCGGGUUGUAAAGCCCUUUUGUUGGGAAAGAAAAGCAGCAGGUUAAUACCCCGCUGUUCUGACGGUACCCAAAGAAUAAGCACCGGCUAACUUCGUG